rnacentral:rRNA from 1 species
UACGUAGGGGGCAAGCGUUGUCCGGAAUCAUUGGGCGUAAAGAGCGUGUAGGCGGUCCGGUAAGUCGGCUGUGAAACCUCCAGGCUCAACCUGGAGACGCCAUCUGAUACUGCCGUGGCUUGAGUCCGGUAGAGGAGCAGGGAAUUCCUGGUGUAGCGGUGAAAUGCGCAGAUAUCAGGAGGAACACCAGCGGCGAAGGCGCUGCUCUGGGCCGGUACUGACGCUGAGGAGCGAAAGCGUGGGGAGCGAACAGG